AAAACACUAACGAACGCUGGCGGCAUGCCUAACACAUGCAAGUCGAACGAGAUCUUCGGAUCUAGUGGCGCACGGGUGCGUAACGCGUGGGAAUCUGCCCUUGGGUACGGAAUAACUCAGAGAAAUUUGUGCUAAUACCGUAUAAUGUCUUCGGACCAAAGAUUUAUCGCCCAAGGAUGAGCCCGCGUAGGAUUAGCUAGUUGGUGAGGUAAAAGCUCACCAAGGCGACGAUCCUUAGCUGGUCUGAGAGGAUGAUCAGCCACACUGGGACUGAGACACGGCCCAG
rnacentral:rRNA from 1 species